rnacentral:rRNA from 1 species
GACGAACGCUGGCGGCGUGCUUAUCACAUGCCAGUCGAACGGAAAGGCCCUGCUUUUGUGGGGUGCUCGAGUGGCGAACGGGUGAGUAACACGUGAGUAACCUGCCCUUGACUUUGGGAUAACUUCAGGAAACUGGGGCUAAUACCGGAUAGGAGCUCCUGCUGCAUGGUGGGGGUUGGAAAGUUUCGGCGGUUGGGGAUGGACUCGCGGCUUAUCAGCUUGUUGGUGGGGUAGUGGCUUACCAAGGCUUUGACGGGUAGCCGGCCUGAGAGGUGACCGGCCACAUUGGGACUGAGAUACGGCCCAGACUCCUACGGGAGGCAGCAGUGGGGAAUAUUGCACAAUGGGCGGAAGCCUGAUGCAGCAACGCCGCGUGCGGGAUGACGGCCUUCGGGUUGUAAACCGCUUUCGCCUGUGACGAAGCGUGAGUGACGGUAAUGGGUAAAGAAGCACCGGCUAACUACGUG